UUAGAGGAAGUAAAAGUCGUAACAAGGUUUCCGUAGGUGAACCUGCGGAAGGAUCAUUACCCUUCUAUCAGGGGAUUGGUGUCAGCAUUUCGGCCUUUGGCUUACUUUCUGGCCCUUUCCUUUCUGAUUCUACCCAUGUUUUUUGCGUACUAUUUGUUUCCUUGGUGGGCUUGCCUGCCAAAAGGACAAUUCAAACCACUUGUAAUUGCAGUCAGCGUCAGUAACAAUGUAAUAAUUACAACUUUCAACAACGGAUCUCUUGGUUCUGGCAUCGAUGAAGAACGCAGCGAAAUGCGAUAAGUAGUGUGAAUUGCAGAAUUCAGUGAAUCAUCGAAUCUUUGAACGCACAUUGCGCCCCUUGGUAUUCCAUGGGGCAUGCCUGUUCGAGCGUCAUUUGUACCCUCAAGCUUUGCUUGGUGUUGGGUGAAUGUUCUCUGUGCUUGCGCAGACUGGACUCGCCUGAAAACAAUUGGCAGCCGGCAUAUUGGCCUGGAGCGCAGCACAUUUUGCGCCUCUUGCUAUGAUUGUUGGCAUCCAUCAAGAUAUUUUAUUAACUCUUGACCUCGGAUCAGGUAGGGAUACCCGCUGAACUUAAGCAUAUCAAUAA
rnacentral:rRNA from 1 species